CGAAAGCACCCAAAACACUAGCAGUGCUUCCAAACUUCUUUUGAGUUCCUGAUUUGAUUAAGCACCAGGAACUGUCUCUCCCCAGACAAACAGGCAGUCAUAAGUAUAUGUGCGUGUGCUUGUGUGCGCCUCUGCAUACAUGUGAGACAUCUGGGUUCGAAGGUCGCCUGGAAGCCCAGGCACAGGUGCCCUGGAGAUUGUGAACCCAGGUUAAAGAUCUGCCUGCGAGCUCCCCACAACACUGUCCCUGGAGACCACCCAUGUGGCAGACACUCAAAAUCUGUUGUAUUUGCUAAAUAAAUUAAUAUGGACAAGUUACCCAACAUAUUUGAAUUCGGUUUUCUUAUUCUGAAGUAGGAACAGUCUCUACCUCAACAGACUACAGUAAGAUGACGAGAAAGUAGCUUCUGCAGGUCCUCGGCACGCUACGAGGCUCCUCCUCCCUCCCUCUCAAAUGCCAGGUACCACGUUAGGUUAUAGGCAGAAAACGCGAGCAGCAUACAAUAUAGUCUCUGACUCAGGGAGCUUAAAAUCCCAUUGUGGAGGCAAAAUAAACACGUAAAGCCAAAGCACAACUGUUAAAAACUGUGAAAAAGAAUGAUACAGACACGGGCUCAAAAGGCCAGAGAAGGGAGAGGUGAAUGGAGUUUGGGAGAUUCAGAAAGACUUUCGGGCAGGAGCAGUAUCCCGAAGAUCAGAAAGGAUCUGCGCCAGAGGCAUUCGAGUCUUCUCUCGCGUUGGUACAUACCUCUACUGUGGGCAAGCUCCACAGGCCAGAGGGCCAGCAGGUGUAAGCUUCUGGGACCAAAUUCAACCGUACACAUACACGCUAGGUACAAGACACUCCAUGAAGCCAGAGAUGGAACUGACAUCAAGGAUUUCUAGGAUCUCCUCUGGGUCUAAAAUCUCAUGAUCCUACGGAACUGUCUUGUGGCAAGACUUGAAUUUACAAAACCCUUCUGAUUUCUUCGCUGGGAUUGCCCUUGUUAGCUCUUCGGGUGGUGGCGGUUAUAUUAUAACUUACCCUCCCAUCAUGAACAUAAUACUGUGUCAAUUCGGAACUCAGCCCUGCUAGGAGAAAUAGGAUCUAAUAAAAAGAUCUGGUCACAGUGGACCAUAUUUCUGCAUGGCAACAACUGGCUGGAGAGUAGUGGUGCCAUACCUCACAUUUAGGUGCCUUCCUGGUCCUUUUAUGGAGAAAAACUACAAAGCCAAACAAACUAUAUCUCAGGUGUAGGAAAUAUAAGGCUGGGCUCACAAAUGUGAAAAGC
rnacentral:lncRNA from 1 species